rnacentral:lncRNA from 1 species
ACAUAAUUUGUUUAUUGGACUGAAGUCAAUCCAGGCAUUGGCCCAGAUUCAAUUGUGAAAGAAUAUAACGCUGCAACUUGGCCUGCGUGACAAGGGAUCUGAGGCCCAAAUGGAAAUGCACCAAUUAAAGGCAUGUAUGAGACAACCUUCAUCAAGGAACUGUGUUCGAAUCUCCGCCCACAGCCAAUUUCCAGAUUUUAUUUGGGCCGGCAUUCGUAGCUCAUUCAAGUUUGCACACUUCAAGCUUUUCAGUUAAUUCAUGGAUUCCACUAUGAGUAAUUAAUUCAAUGCAGCUACACCUCCCUACAUAAACUAAUCGACGCUGAUAAUUGAAAGAGCAUGAGAUAAUUAGUGAGGUUAAACCUCUAAUUUGUGCCAAUUUAAACUCAAUAACCCUGGUAUUUCGAAUAAACUAAUUUGUGUGAAGCUGUAAUUACUAAGCAUUAAUAAAGUAUUUGACUAAUGGAUUAGUUCUACUACACUGAAAUGAACUUCGAAUAUAACAAACAUGUUGAUCUUACUAACAUGAACAAAAAUCACAAACUUCAAGUCAUUCUCUAUUCCAGUUUUCAUGAAUUCAAAAUCGUACUUUACGAGUCAAACUAAAUCAACACAAUUUCUAGCAUUGACUAGUUACCAACUCCAAUGCCCACAGGCAUAAAACAGUCCACACCACUUAACAUAGCCUUAAUUACAAUAAGGAAUAGUUCUAGCUAACAGUCCCUUUGUGAUUCAAAAACAAAUCAAAUGUACAUCAUUACUCAUCAUCUGAACAGAAUCAUCAAUAGAGCAGUAAUGAAACAGCAAUGAAAUUCCAGUAGCUAACACAGCCUUUCUCAGUUCAAAAUUGGAUCGGGGAUCCAGGAGGUUUUGAAUCAAAUAUAACAGAGAGAUUGGGCCCAAAGUAGCACCAAAAUGAACAAAAUCGACUUGAAAGACACCACAAUAACACAGUAGCAGAAUUGACCUAACACAAACCACUUGAAAAUUACCAGGAAUCUCCAGAAUCCAAUAGCACUCCAAGCUCAAACUGGAAGAUGCAUUGUGUUUUCUAAAAAUUUCGAAAUCAGCCUAAUAGUUCAAUGGAACAGUGUUGUUUUCGGUUUUUCUGUAUUUUUUUCAAUUUGUUUUUGUAUUUUUCAGCAGAAUUAAAGAGAAUUACCAACUACUACCAAUCUGAAAUUCAAAAUCUAGCUAAUCUGCAUGGAAGUGUUGAUUGGGGAAAUUUUUAUGGCUGAAAGAGAGGGCCCUGAACUAGGCAAAGUGUAUCCCUUUUAUAGGGAUCAAAGAGGUGAAUUAUCAUAUUUUGUUUUUCAUUCAAGUCCCUAUUUAAUUUCAACUUAGUCUAUCAUUUUAAAACUUACUACACAAGUAACUAUCUCUAUUUUUCUGAAACAUAUACUAAAACCACAUUCUAGAAUAACCUACAAGGUUCUAGUAUCGUCUAACAUCUUCCUACCCAGUACCAAUUAUCCAUAUACCCCUAACCAAUCCCUGAACUUACUAAAUUACCUCAUUAAACUAACAACAUCACUAAUCAGAUAAAACUACACCAAGCAGAAUUCAAACAAAAUCCAAAUCAUCAUUUAAGCUAAAACAAACCAAUCAGAAAGCAUUUAUGCUAAAUCAAUUUAGAAAGAAGAACAAUGCUAACCAAAUUAUUAACCUAAAUCCUAUUAUUAACAAACAGAUUGGGAUGAAUCAAUAUUCUACUAAUAAUCAGGCUAGAAUGAAACCAAAUGAAUCACAGUAUAAAAGAGCAAACAGUUAACCACGGAAUUAAGAACUAAAGUUGAUAGAAACUGAAGCUAACGAUUAUAAUUAUAAAAACAAAAGAAAAUCAAUGAGCAAAGAAAAGAAAAAAAAGAAAGCAAAACUUACUGGCCUGACUCGAAACCCUAUUGACCUUCGACCUAAAAAUUCGGACGACUCUGGCGGUGUUUCAACGCCAUGAAUAAGAAGACCAUAUUGUGCCAAUUUGGUACCAUUUGGAGCGUUUAGGGUUUUGGCCGGAACAAACUCAAAUGAAAAUUCGAGAAGUUUCGGCAAAAUUCGAGACAUGCAGUUACGGGGGUUGGGUAGAGGCGGCUCAGGAGACCCUAGGGUGUUAAUUUGGGUCAAUUUGGGGUAGGUAAUAUUUUGGCCGGAAAACUUUCUAACGAAGAUUCGACGAGCUCCGGUGAGAUUUGAAAUAAACGGAUGGCAUAUCUAGAAAGAGUAUGAGCAGGGGAAGCUGGGGUGUUAUUUUGGUGUCCAUUGGUGGUGGUGGCGUUCACCAGCGACGGCUCCGCCGGUAAUGUUACAGGGAAGGUACGAGGAAAACAACCAGUCGGUCUCUAAGGUUCUGAAUGAAAUCAGACAUUUUUAUUUAAACAUGCAUGAGCCAUCACGACCGUCUGAUAGAAUUAAU